rnacentral:rRNA from 1 species
AGAGUUUGAUCCUGGCUCAGGAUGAACGCUAGCUACAGGCUUAACACAUGCAAGUCGAGGGGCAUCAGGAAGAAAGCUUGCUUUCUUUGCUGGCGACCGGCGCACGGGUGAGUAACACGUAUCCAACCUGCCCUUUACUCGGGGAUAGCCUUUCGAAAGAAAGAUUAAUACCCGAUGGCAUAAUGAUUCCGCAUGGUUUCAUUAUUAAAGGAUUCCGGUAAAGGAUGGGGAUGCGUUCCAUUAGGUUGUUGGUGAGGUAACGGCCCACCAAGCCUUCGAUGGAUAGGGGUUCUGAGAGGAAGGUCCCCCACAUUGGAACUGAGACACGGUCCAAACUCCUACGGGAGGCAGCAGUGAGGAAUAUUGGUCAAUGGGCGCUAGCCUGAACCAGCCAAGUAGCGUGAAGGAUGAAGGCUCUAUGGGUCGUAAACUUCUUUUAUAUAAGAAUAAAGUGCAGUAUGUAUACUGUUUUGUAUGUAUUAUAUGAAUAAGGAUCGGCUAACUCCGUGCCAGCAGCCGCGGUAAUACGGAGGAUCCGAGCGUUAUCCGGAUUUAUUGGGUUUAAAGGGAGCGUAGGUGGACUGGUAAGUCAGUUGUGAAAGUUUGCGGCUCAACCGUAAAAUUGCAGUUGAUACUGUCAGUCUUGAGUACAGUAGAGGUGGGCGGAAUUCGUGGUGUAGCGGUGAAAUGCUUAGAUAUCACGAAGAACUCCGAUUGCGAAGGCAGCUCACUGGACUGCAACUGACACUGAUGCUCGAAAGUGUGGGUAUCAAACAGGAUUAGAUACCCUGGUAGUCCACACAGUAAACGAUGAAUACUCGCUGUUUGCGAUAUACAGUAAGCGGCCAAGCGAAAGCAUUAAGUAUUCCACCUGGGGAGUACGCCGGCAACGGUGAAACUCAAAGGAAUUGACGGGGGCCCGCACAAGCGGAGGAACAUGUGGUUUAAUUCGAUGAUACGCGAGGAACCUUACCCGGGCUUAAAUUGCAGUGGAAUGAUGUGGAAACAUGUCAGUGAGCAAUCACCGCUGUGAAGGUGCUGCAUGGUUGUCGUCAGCUCGUGCCGUGAGGUGUCGGCUUAAGUGCCAUAACGAGCGCAACCCUUAUCUUCAGUUACUAACAGGUCAUGCUGAGGACUCUGGAGAGACUGCCGUCGUAAGAUGUGAGGAAGGUGGGGAUGACGUCAAAUCAGCACGGCCCUUACGUCCGGGGCUACACACGUGUUACAAUGGGGGGUACAGAAGGCAGCUAGCGGGUGACCGUAUGCUAAUCCCAAAAGCCUCUCUCAGUUCGGAUCGAAGUCUGCAACCCGACUUCGUGAAGCUGGAUUCGCUAGUAAUCGCGCAUCAGCCACGGCGCGGUGAAUACGUUCCCGGGCCUUGUACACACCGCCCGUCAAGCCAUGGGAGCCGGGGGUACCUGAAGUACGUAACCGCAAGGAUCGUCCUAGGGUAAAACUGGUGACUGGGGCUAAGUCGUAACAAGGUAGCCGUACCGGAAGGUGCGGCUG